rnacentral:rRNA from 1 species
CGUGUCGUGAGAUGUUGGGUUAAGGUCCGUAACCGAGCGCAACCCUUGUCCUUAGUUACCAGCACGUUACGGUGGGCACUCUAAAGAGACUGCCGGUGACAAACCGGAGGAAGGUGGGGAGUGACGUCAAGUCAUCAUGGCCCUUACGGCCUGGGCUACACACGUGCUACAAUGGUCGGUACAAAGGGUUGCCAAGCCGCGAGGUGGAGCUAAUCCCAUAAAACCGAUCGUAGUCCGGAUCGCAGUCUGCAACUCGACUGCGUGAAGUCGGAAUCGCUAGUAAUCGUGAAUCAGAAUGUCACGGUGAAUACGUUCCCGGGCCUU